GGGCUAGGGGAAAUUACAAAAAAAAAUAACAAACCAACUUGCAAACAAUAACUAGUUAGUCUUGCCCAACAAACGCAUGCAAUACCUUCUCCUUAAUGAUGGUGGAAUGGCUAGAAAAUCGUCUUUUCGUUGAAUAUUAUUCACCAACAGAUCUAUGAAGAUCAACUAAUCGCCCUCCUCUUAACCCUCAAUUUGGUAAAUCUGUUCGAUGACCUCCUUGUAGGAUUGUAUCAGCAACAGCGGAAGCACAAAGAUCAUCUAAUCACUCAAAUUCACUAGUUUUGGCAAAACAUAAAGCAUGCUCUUGCAGAAAACAAGUGAGUUUCAAGACAUCUACCUCUUGUAGAAUUUCUUCAAAACUCCUUCUGUAACAUCCCGUAUAUUUUUUUUAGUAAUAAUGUAAUUUCAGUAAAUCUUUACUAAUUGAGAACAUUUUUGGAAUUUUUGGACAUUUAAGUGCAAUUGUUGGAAUUUAAAUCAUUUAAGUGAAAAUUAAUAUUAGAAAUUAAUUCCAAAGUUUAGUGUUGGAAAUCAAGGACAAGAAUUGUUGUUUUAAAAAUGGAAAAGAAGAGAAUGAAAAAAAAAUAUAUAAUAAUAACAAUAAAGGGGAAUAGGAAGGAAACAAAAUUAAAUAUAUUUUAUUUCUUUCCUUUUCUUUUUUUCUUUUUUUCUUUCCCCCUCCCUCUUCUUCCUCACGCAACCUAGCAGCCGCUCUCUCUCGCCGCCGACCUCGACCAGAGGUCCGAUCUUCUCGCCCUGAUCGUUCGCGCCGCCUAAAUCUGAUUCCAGCCGUCGUCGCGAGCCACCCGAUCACUGAAGUCAAUCGCACCUGGAUCGAACACUGAGAGCCUCCGUCCAGCCAAGCGCUCAUCCAGACGGUCGCCGCCUGAGCCCAAACCGGUCUCCACUGCCGCUCGCCGUGGAAGCUUCUGUCUAGCUGACUCCUUCGCCGCACGUCCGCGCGCUCUGCCGCCCUCUAUCGAGGGCUGCUGCUGUGGUUUCACCGAAUCUUGAAAAUAGAUUAAUUGGGCUUUGGAUUUAAGUUUUGGAGAAGUUUUGAAUUUAGAAGCGAACAACUUGAGUUUGAUUGUAACGAGAAUUUUGGUGUUAGUGCUUUGCGGUGAUCUUGGCCAAACCACUAUUGGGUAAUGGUAGAGAUGCACCGGCGAUGGACAAGCAAAAUUCGUGAUCGAGCCACUGAGACUAGUUUUUACAUUUCCUCUCAUGAGAUUUAGAGUUCUUUUCAUGUUUCUCUUAACUUUUAGUUUUGACGUUUAAAACUUACUUUUAAGAAUCAUUUUCAGACUUAAUUAUUAUCUUUUAUGAUUUAUGGGUACCCUACUAUUGUUUUAAUAUUUGAAUUUAAUGAAAGUCUUUAAAACUUACCUUAUUUAAUUAGCAUUUAUUUCGCCAUAACCGAGUGUCGAUUUGAGUUCCAUGCAUGCAUGUAUUUAGUAACGGUUUAACUUAAGUCCUAGGGGGUCAGGUCGUUACACCUUCUCCAGCUGUUAUCUUCUCUAAAUCUUGUUGCAGACCACCUCAAGAUCUUCUCCACUAUUCUCUUGGUGCUCUAAAUUGAGUUGUGGGACUCAAAACAAGCUUGAAUCAAGGGAUGAAGAAAAAAUGCUCACUGCAAUCAACAUGCAAAGGAGAGAGUUGCAUGAGUUGCAAGUCAUGUUUGAAGAAGACAAGACAAAGUGAAUGCCAUUUGAGUGAGCAACUAAAGAGAUGGAUAAUGGAAAAUCUUCUUUUUCCAUUUUGUGUGAU